rnacentral:lncRNA from 1 species
CGGCCCCCCCGGCCACCAGCAGCCCCCCCACCCCGCCGUGACACGGCCCCGGGAGACCCUGCGGUAAAUAAGACAUUGUUACGAGCGCUGGGAGACCCUAUGAUAACAAAGCACCUGGAGCUGCUUCAGGAGACCCUACAAUAAAUAAGACGGUGAUGGGAGACCCUACAAUAACAAACCACCUGGAGUUGCUCCAGGAGACCCUACGGUAAAUAAACACCUGGAGCUGCUCCGGGAGUCCCUACGGUAAAUAAGAAAAUGAUGGGAGACCCUACAAUAACAAGCCACCUGGAGCUGCUUCAGGAGACCCUACAGUAAAUAAACACCUGGAGCUGCUCCGGGAGACCCUACGGUAAAUAAGGCAUUAUUGCGAGUUCUGGGAGACCCUACAAUAACAAGCCACCUGGAGCUGCUCUGGGAGACCCUACAGUAAAUAAGACAGUGCUGUGAGUGCUGAGAAAACCUACAAUAACAAACAACCUGGAGUUGCUUUGGAGACCCUACAGUAAAUAAAUACCUCGAGCUACUCUGGGAGACCCUACAGUAAAUAAGACAUCACUGCAAGUGAUGGGAGACCGUACAAUAACAAACCACUCAGAUCUGCUCCAGGAGACCCUACAAUAAAUAAGCCAGCACUGCAAGUUCUGGGAGACCCUACAACAACAAACCAACAAGAGCUGCUUGGGGAGACCCUACAAAAAUAAGCUACCACAACAAGCACUGGGAGACACUACAGUAACAAGCCACCAGGAGCUGCUUGGGAAGACCCUACAAUAACAAGCCAAUAAGAACCCCCUCUGUGAGACCCUACAAUAACAAACCACCAGGAGCUGCUCCAGGGACACUCUACAAUAACAAACCAGCAGGACCCUCUCUGGGAGACCCUACAAUAAAUAAGGCUGCAGG